rnacentral:rRNA from 1 species
GAUGAACGCUGGCGGCGUGCCUAAUACAUGCAAGUCGAGCGAACAGAUAAGGAGCUUGCUCCUUUGACGUUAGCGGCGGACGGGUGAGUUACACGUGGAUAACCUACCUAUAAGACUGGGAUAACUUCGGGAAACCGGAGCUAAUACCGGAUAACAUAUUGAACCGCAUGGUUCAAUAGUGAAAGGCGGCUUUGCUGUCACUUAUAGAUGGAUCCGCGCCGUAUUAGCUAGUUGGUAAGGUAACGGCUUACCAAGGCAACGAUACGUAGCCGACCUGAGAGGGUGAUCGGCCACACUGGAACUGGGACACGGUCCAGACUCCUACGGGAGGCAGCAGUAGGGAAUCUUCCGCAAUGGGCGAAAGCCUGACGGAGCAACGCCGCGUGAGUGACGAAGGUCUUCGGAUCGUAAAACUCUGUUAUCAGGGAAGAACAAAUGUGUAAGUAACUGUGCACAUCUUGACGGUACCUGAUCAGAAAGCCACGGCUAACUACGUG